UGGUGGAGCGAUUUGUCUGGUUAAUUCCGAUAACGAACGAGACUCUAGCCUAUUAAAUAGUUCGCCCGUUCCAAAAUGGCGGGCGCUGACUUCUUAGAGGGACAAGUGGCUCUUAGCCACGCGAGAUUGAGCAAUAACA
rnacentral:rRNA from 1 species